rnacentral:tRNA from 1 species
UAGGAUAAUAGUUAAUAAUAACAUUUAAGUUGCAUUUAAAAAUAAUUGGUAAAAUCAAUUUAUCUU